GUGCGCGCCCGGCCGGAAGUGCGCUCGCGUGGAGUUGUGGGCGCGUGGUGGGUUUGCCGGUUGGGAUCGUGGGUUUCAUAAAGAGGUUUUGCGUUGUUCCUUUUCGUCCUCAACAUCCUCGUGAUAUGGAUGUGGAUACUCAAACCUAUUUUUUGGAUGAGAAAACUGAGGCUCCAAGAAGUAAACCAACUCGCUCAGCUACAUGGAACCACCACCUGGUGAGCGGAGGCGGGACAAUCAGAGCCCUACGGAUUCUCAGUGGUGCCACAUCGGAGGUAGAGCCUCAGUACUGGGUGUGGGAUCUGGGCCGAAGAAAGGAGCCCUCGUUUCUCAGCCACACUCACAGGAGGUUAGCCUCAGCAUUAGGUUGAUGGGGACAAGAUGAAACUGGUGAUGUCCUG